rnacentral:rRNA from 1 species
UACGAAGGGUGCAAGCGUUAAUCGGAAUUACUGGGCGUAAGGCGCGCGUAGGUGGUUCAGUAAGUUGGAAGUGAAAUCCCCGGGCUCAACCUGGGAACUGCUUUCAAAACUGCUGAGCUAGAGUACGGUAGAGGGUGGUGGAAUUUCCUGUGUAGCGGUGAAAUGCGUAGAUAUAGGAAGGAACACCAGUGGCGAAGGCGACCACCUGGACUGAUACUGACACUGAGGUGCGA